UAAAGCGGAAUGAAACGUGUCAACGAAAUGAACAGUGUUCGGUGCCAGCUGGGUCUGUUUGUCAAAACGAUACUUGUGUCUUGCUCCCUGAUGACAAACCUCAAUCGUUUAUCCUCGAUCAUAAAGUAAAUAACCUUGACGGCAUGACAUUUGGAAUUCUUUUUGGUGGACUCGUUCUGUGCAUAAUGUUAACUGCUAUAGCAGUAACCAUCUAUCAUAAUGCACGACAGAAGAAAACAAACACUGAGGAAGAGUAUGAAACAUUUUUAAUAGUCUUUUGUUCUUUUUGAAUUAGUUGUUCACCUCUA